rnacentral:rRNA from 1 species
GUGAGGAAUAUUGGUCAAUGGGUGCAAGCCUGAACCAGCCAUCCCGCGUGAAGGACGACUGCCCUAUGGGUUGUAAACUUCUUUUGUAUAGGGAUAAACCUACCCUCGUGAGGGUAGCUGAAGGUACUAUACGAAUAAGCACCGGCUAACUCCGUGCCAGCAGCCGCGGUAAUACGGAGGGUGCAAGCGUUAUCCGGAUUUAUUGGGUUUAAAGGGUCCGUAGGCGGACUUAUAAGUCAGUGGUGAAAGCCUGUCGCUUAACGAUAGAACUGCCAUUGAUACUGUAAGUCUUGAGUAUAUUUGAGGUAGCUGGAAUAAGUAGUGUAGCGGUGAAAUGCAUAGAUAUUACUUAGAACACCAAUUGCGAAGGCAGGUUACCAAGAUAUAACUGACGCUGAGGGACGAAAGCGUGGGGAGCGAACAGGAUUAGAAACCCGUGUAGUCC